AAGUCGUAACAAGGUUUCCGUAGGUGAACCUGCGGAAGGAUCAUUAUUGAAUUCUCAAUAACGUAUGUGAACCUGCUGAACCUUGGCUCAUAAGUUUGUAGACGCUGUUGGGGUCAUACCUGCGGCUUAACAUGCCUAAGUGCCAAGGAGCAACGGAUCUCUAGGCUCUC
rnacentral:misc_RNA from 1 species